rnacentral:rRNA from 1 species
GCAAGUCGAACGCACACUUUCGGGUGCGAGUGGCUGACGGGUGCGUAACGCGUCGGAACCUGCACUGAGGUCUGUGACAACCGUGGGAAACCGCGGCUAAUGGAGGAUGUAUCCUAUGGCACAAAGACUUGCCGCCUUGGGAGGGGCCCGGGUUGGAUGAGCUAGUUGGUGGGGUAAUGGCCUACCAAGGCUGCGAUCCAUAGCUGGUCUGAGAGGAUGAUC